rnacentral:rRNA from 1 species
UGGGGAAUCUUGCACAAUGGAGGAAACUCUGAUGCAGCGAUGCCGCGUGAGUGAAGAAGGCCCUUGGGUUGUAAAGCUCUUUCGUCGGGGAAGAAAAUGACUGUACCCGAAUAAGAAGGUCCGGCUAACUUCGUG